AUUGAACGCUGGCGGCAGGCCUAACACAUGCAAGUCGAGCGGUAGCACAGAGAGCUUGCUCUCGGGUGACGAGCGGCGGACGGGUGAGUAAUGUCUGGGAAACUGCCUGAUGGAGGGGGAUAACUACUGGAAACGGUAGCUAAUACCGCAUAACGUCGCAAGACCAAAGUGGGGGACCUUCGGGCCUCAUGCCAUCAGAUGUGCCCAGAUGGGAUUAGCUAGUAGGUGGGGUAAUGGCUCACCUAGGCGACGAUCCCUAGCUGGUCUGAGAGGAUGACCAGCCACACUGGAACUGAGACACGGUCCAGACUCCUACGGGAGGCAGCAGUGGGGAAUAUUGCGCAAUGGGCGCAAGCCUGAUGCAGCCAUGCCGCGUGUGUGAAGAAGGCCUUCGGGUUGUAAAGCACUUUCAGCGGGGAGGAAGGCGAUAAGGUUAAUAACCUCAUCGAUUGACGUUACCCGCAGAAGAAGCACCGGCUAACUCCGUGCCAGCAGCCGCGGUAAUACGGAGGGUGCAAGCGUUAAUCGGAAUUACUGGGCGUAAAGCGCACGCAGGCGGUCUGUCAAGUCGGAUGUGAAAUCCCCGGGCUCAACCUGGGAACUGCAUUCGAAACUGGCAGGCUAGAGUCUUGUAGAGGGGGGUAGAAUUCCAGGUGUAGCGGUGAAAUGCGUAGAGAUCUGGAGGAAUACCGGUGGCGAAGGCGGCCCCCUGGACAAAGACUGACGCUCAGGUGCGAAAGCGUGGGGAGCAAACAGGAUUAGAUACCCUGGUAGUCCACGCCGUAAACGAUGUCGAUUUGGAGGUUGUGCCCUUGAGGCGUGGCUUCCGGAGCUAACGCGUUAAAUCGACCGCCUGGGGAGUACGGCCGCAAGGUUAAAACUCAAAUGAAUUGACGGGGGCCCGCACAAGCGGUGGAGCAUGUGGUUUAAUUCGAUGCAACGCGAAGAACCUUACCUGGUCUUGACAUCCACAGAACUUUCCAGAGAUGGAUUGGUGCCUUCGGGAACUGUGAGACAGGUGCUGCAUGGCUGUCGUCAGCUCGUGUUGUGAAAUGUUGGGUUAAGUCCCGCAACGAGCGCAACCCUUAUCCUUUGUUGCCAGCGGUCCGGCCGGGAACUCAAAGGAGACUGCCAGUGAUAAACUGGAGGAAGGUGGGGAUGACGUCAAGUCAUCAUGGCCCUUACGACCAGGGCUACACACGUGCUACAAUGGCAUAUACAAAGAGAAGCGACCUCGCGAGAGCAAGCGGACCUCAUAAAGUAUGUCGUAGUCCGGAUUGGAGUCUGCAACUCGACUCCAUGAAGUCGGAAUCGCUAGUAAUCGUAGAUCAGAAUGCUACGGUGAAUACGUUCCCGGGCCU
rnacentral:rRNA from 1 species